rnacentral:sRNA from 1 species
GGCGGAGACCACAAUUCCCGGCAUUCGUGGGGCGGGGAGGAGUCGGCCUCCCGGAAUCCUGGUCCCGGCGUGCACUUCUGAAGGACUUCAGGCACCCUUUCUUGGGCCGCGAGGUCCCUAUCUCGAACGGCUCAGGAUUCGUGGUGGCUGCCGAUGGGCUCAUUGUCACCAACGCCCAUGUGGUGGCUGAUCGGCGCAGAGUCCGUGUGAGACUGCUAAGCGGCGACACGUAUGAGGCCGUGGUCACAGCUGUGGAUCCCGUGGCAGACAUCGCAACGCUGAGGAUUCAGACUAAGGAGCCUCUCCCCACGCUGCCUCUGGGACGCUCAGCUGAUGUCCGGCAAGGGGAGUUUGUUGUUGCCAUGGGAAGUCCCUUUGCACUGCAGAACACGAUCACAUCCGGCAUUGUUAGCUCUGCUCAGCGUCCAGCCAGAGACCUGGGACUCCCCCAAACCAAUGUGGAAUACAUUCAAACUGAUGCAGCUAUUGAUUUUGGAAACUCUGGAGGUCCCCUGGUUAACCUGGUGAGUGAGACAUCCUUCCUUCCAAGAAUCCCUGCCCCAGGAUGGGGAGGUGAUUGGAGUGAACACCAUGAAGGUCACAGCUGGAAUCUCCUUUGCCAUCCCUUCUGAUCGUCUUCGAGAGUUUCUGCAUCGUGGGGAAAAGAAGAAUUCCUCCUCCGGAAUCAGUGGGUCCCAGCGGCGCUACAUUGGGGUGAUGAUGCUGACCCUGAGUCCCAG